AUCUCAUAGAUAGCUCAGCUGGUUAGAGUGUGGUGCUGAUAAUGCCAAGGUUGAGGGUUCAAUUCUCAUAUUGGACA